AAAUGAGGGAAAGAGGAAGGGGUCAUGGGCUGAAAAACUUCCUAUCAGGUACUAUAUUCACUAUCUGGGUGAUGGGAUGAAUAGAAGCCCAAACUUUAGCAUGACACAAUAUACCCUUGUAAUAAACCUGCAUUCCUAUGCCCCAAACAAU